CCUACGGGAGACAGCAGUGGGGAAUAUUGCACAAUGGGGGAAACCCUGAUGCAGCGACGCCGCGUGAGUGAAGAAGUAUUUCUGUAUGGAAAGCUCUAUCAGCAGGGAAGAAAAUGACGGUACCUGAGUACGAAGCCCCGGCUAACUACGUACCAGCAGCCGCGGUCAUACGGAGGGGGCAAGCGUUAUCCGGAUUUACUGGGUGUAAAGGGAGCGUAGACGGCAGCACAAGUCUGGCGUGAAAUGCCCGGGCUUAACCCCGGAACUGCCUUUGAAACUGUGCAGCUAGAGUGCAGGAGAGGUAAGUGGAAUUCCUAGUGUAGCGGUGAAAUGCGUAGAUAUCAGGAGGAACACCAGUGGCGAAGGCGGCUUACUGGACUGUAACUGACGCUGAGGCUCGAAAGCGUGGGUAGCAAACAGGAUUAGAUACCCGAGUAGUC
rnacentral:rRNA from 1 species